rnacentral:rRNA from 1 species
CAGUCGCCGCGGUAAUACGUAGGUGGCAAGCGUUGUCCGGAAUUACUGGGCGUAAAGCGCACGCAGGCGGUUUGUUAAGUCAGAUGUGAAAUCCCCGAGCUUAACUUGGGAACUGCAUUUGAAACUGGCAAGCUAGAGUCUUGUAGAGGGGGGUAGAAUUCCAGGUGUAGCGGUGAAAUGCGUAGAGAUCUGGAGGAAUACCGGUGGCGAAGGCGGCCCCCUGGACGAAGACUGACGCUCAGGUACGAAAGCGUGGGGAGCAAACAGGAUUAGAUACCCCAGUAGUCCCUGUCUCUUAUAC